GAUGAAGAACGCAGCGAAAUGCGAUAAGUAAUGUGAAUUGCAGAAUUCAGUGAAUCAUCGAAUCUUUGAACGCACCUUGCGCCCUUUGGCCAUUCCGAAGGGCAUGCCUGUUUGAGUAUCAUGAACACCUCAACUCUUUAUGGUUUUCCAUGAUGAGCUUGGACUCUGGGGGUUUUGCUGGCUCUCAGUCGGCUCCUCUAAAAUGAAUCAGCUUACCAGUGUUUGGUGGGUAUCAUGGGUGUGAUAACUAUCUACGCUUGUGGUUUUUCCACCAGGUAACCUUCAGCAGUGGAGGUUCGCUGGAGCUCAUAGAUGUCUCUCCUCAGUGAGGACAGCCCUUUGAAUGUUUGAUCUCAAAUCAGGUAGGACUACCCGCUGAACUUAAGCAUAUCAAUAAGCGGAGGA
rnacentral:misc_RNA from 1 species